UAAAUAGCUCAGUUGGUUAGAGCACCUGACUGUUAAUCAGGGGGUCGUAGGUUCGAGUCCUACUUUGGG
rnacentral:tRNA from 1 species